GAGCUUGCUCCUCUGACGUUAGCGGCGGACGGGUGAGUAACACGUGGAUAACCUACCUAUAAGACUGGGAUAACUUCGGGAAACCGGAGCUAAUACCGGAUAAUAUAUUGAACCGCAUGGUUCAAUAGUGAAAGACGGUUUUGCUGUCACUUAUAGAUGGAUCCGCGCCGCAUUAGCUAGUUGGUAAGGUAACGGCUUACCAAGGCGACGAUGCGUAGCCGACCUGAGAGGGUGAUCGGCCACACUGGAACUGAGACACGGUCCAGACUCCUACGGGAGGCAGCAGUAGGGAAUCUUCCGCAAUGGGCGAAAGCCUGACGGAGCAACGCCGCGUGAGUGAUGAAGGUCUUCGGAUCGUAAAACUCUGUUAUUAGGGAAGAACAAAUGUGUAAGUAACUAUGCACGUCUUGACGGUACCUAAUCAGAAAGCCACGGCUAACUACGUGCCAGCAGCCGCGGUAAUACGUAGGUGGCAAGCGUUAUCCGGAAUUAUUGGGCGUAAAGCGCGCGUAGGCGGUUUUUUAAGUCUGAUGUGAAAGCCCACGGCUCAACCGUGGAGGGUCAUUGGAAACUGGAAAACUUGAGUGCAGAAGAGGAAAGUGGAAUUCCAUGUGUAGCGGUGAAAUGCGCAGAGAUAUGGAGGAACACCAGUGGCGAAGGCGACUUUCUGGUCUGUAACUGACGCUGAUGUGCGAAAGCGUGGGGAUCAAACAGGAUU
rnacentral:rRNA from 1 species